rnacentral:lncRNA from 1 species
CUCCUGGGUACACCAGCCAGCCCACGGCACAGAGCCUGCCUGUUGGUCUCUACCCACAGGGGAUCCCCUGCUGCUCCACCAUCAGAUUUGGGACACCACCCCCCCCCCGGCCCCACCAGAGGGCAUCAGCUAUGCCUAGCAAUUACGCCCCCGUGGCUAAAUUAAACUCCCAUUGGCUAAAUUAGGCUCGAAGAGAGGGGCACCUGCUGCUAAGCUGUGUAUGUUGUCCCCUAGGACUCCCACCGUUUGCUGAGCUCCACAUGACAACAGCAGACGACAGGCCGCACUGAUCCCACCUGGCUUACAGGUGCUGUCACACAGGUACGCCUUCUUGUGAAUCAUCAGUCACCAUUUGCCCCUCGCAGCAACCCUGUCUUGGAGGAAGGUCCUUGCCGACACCCGCCUCUCCCCACCCUUAGGCUCCCUUGCUCCUUCAUUCAACCAUUGUUUACAUGUCGUUCAGGACUGCUGACUAAACACUUUCAAGCACAGUGGACCCUUGAACAACGCAGGUUCAAACUGUGCAGGUCCACCCACAGGGAUGUUUUUCAAUCAGAGUUAUACCAAGUGUCCCUGCCUCUCCUGCCUCCCUUCCCACUUCCUCCAUG